rnacentral:rRNA from 1 species
UACGGAGGAUGCGAGCGUUAUCCGGAUUUAUUGGGUUUAAAGGGCGCGUAGGCGGGAUGCCAAGUCAGCGGUAAAAAUGCGGUGCUCAACGCCGUCGAGCCGUUGAAACUGGCGUUCUUGAGUGGGCGAGAAGUAUGCGGAAUGCGUGGUGUAGCGGUGAAAUGCAUAGAUAUCACGCAGAACUCCGAUUGCGAAGGCAGCAUACCGGCGCCCUACUGACGCUGAGGCACGAAAGCGUGGGUAUCGAACAGG